GAGGGUAUAGCUCAAGUGGUAGAGCACAUGCUUAGCCUGCACAAGGUCCUGGGUUCAAUUCCCAGUACCUCCA
rfam:Camelus ferus unplaced genomic scaffold scaffold811, whole genome shotgun sequence.